AGCUCCAGUAGUGUAUAUUAAUAUUGUUGCAGUUAAAAAGCUCGUAGUCGGAUUUCGGAAUUUGCGAUGGUCAAGGUCCACCGUAUCGGUGCGUACUAGACCUGUCGCUUCCUUUGUUUCACAGUUAUACUACGGCUAGUUCCGACCCUCUGUGGUAGGGACCUGUCGUGUUGUGAAUCGUUUACUUUGAAUAAAUCAGAGUGUUCAACGCAGGCGUAACCCUGACCUUGAAUGCUUCAGCAUGGGAUAAUGAAAAAUGUUUUAGGCUUUUUUGUUGGUUUCUAAAGCUCUUAAAAAAUGAUUAAUAGGGUCAGUUGGGGCUGCUCGUAUUCCGUUGUCAGAGGUGAAAUUCUAAGAUUUACGGAAGACGAACUAAUGCGAAAGCAUUCAGCAAGGAUGUUUUCAUUA
rnacentral:rRNA from 1 species